UUAAGUCUUUUCUUGUUUAAAGUAGUUUUUUUUAUUUUAUACAAAGCAAUAUUAGGGGUAGAGAAGGGGAGGGAAAUUGAACCAGAAAGCUCGGUACAUGAAUAAAUACUUUCAACCACUUGGGCUACAAAUUCGUUGCGUAUUGUUUUUGUUUGGACAUACACCUAUUGUAUUAAUUUUCUCGUGAUUUAUAUCCCUUGUGCAAGUCAACCAUUGACAUGAAUUUGGAAAAGCAUAGAAAUAUCAUUAAGUUAUUUGUAGUGCAUGUAUUUGUGUCUUUUUGGUAGUCCCUUUUUAACUUUUCUCUGGAAGCAAUGAUGAUGGGAUGGUGGGCUUUUCAUGUCCAAAGAAACAUAUUGAUGAUUUGUGUUAGACAGGUGGUCGAUUUUGAUUGGCUCGGAGUAGUAGGUUUGUGGUUUCACAUAGGAUUCCAAGAAGCAUAUUAAUGCUCUGAAAAGAUAUGCAUAUAUAAAUGCUCUUUUGGCUUUUGGCCGGAGCUCUUGGUGUAUGGUACUAUUGGAGGCUACCAUUUUUGGAUAGGAACGUUUGCGAUAGAGAGGCAGAGAAAAGAAUAAAUAUUGAGCUAGUUCGAAGCUGCAAGCAGAAGGAUAGCGAGGCAAUGCAGAAGAAGAAGCCAUGGGAAGUGCCAGCUACUGUAACAGAAGUGGCAAGGGAGCUCAGAAACAAGAAUGACGCAGGGCAAGGAGAAAUUGAGUACUUCUUUUCAAUUUCCUUUUCAGCAGAAGAAAAUACAAAUCCCACACCAAAAGUUUAAUUUCUACAGCUUUUAUGAGAAAGAAAAAUGUAUGUAAGGUACACAUUCUGCGAGGGGUUGAUCAAAAAAAUGAUAUUGCAGAAAAAAUAUUUGUUAAAUAUUGAAGACCUUGUAGCAUGGCUUAUGGUUCUAUUUCCAUGUCGCAGUCUCCUGGUAUAUCAACUGUAAUCUUGAAACAAAAAACCGUAGAAAAGAAAACCACCAGCAUGUUUUGUUGAAGAACUAAAUUAUGAUAAAUUUUUUUAA